GAUGAACGCUGGCGGCGUGCCUAAUACAUGCAAGUCGAGCGAACAGACGAGGAGCUUGCUCCUCUGACGUUAGCGGCGGACGGGUGAGUAACACGUGGAUAACCUACCUAUAAGACUGGGAUAACUUCGGGAAACCGGAGCUAAUACCGGAUAAUAUAUUGAACCGCAUGGUUCAAUAGUGAAAGACGGUUUUGCUGUCACUUAUAGAUGGAUCCGCGCCGCAUUAGCUAGUUGGUAAGGUAACGGCUUACCAAGGCAACGAUGCGUAGCCGACCUGAGAGGGUGAUCGGACACACUGGAACUGAGACACGGUCCAGACUCCUACGGGAGGCAGCAGUAGGGAAUCUUCCGCAAUGGGCGAAAGCUUGACGGAGCAACGCCGCGUGAGUGAUGAAGGUCUUCGGAUCGUAAAACUCUGUUAUUAGGGAAGAACAAAUGUGUAAGUAACUAUGCACGUCUUGACGGUACCUAAGCAGAAAACCACGGCUAACUACGU
rnacentral:rRNA from 1 species